UGUCCUUCUCAUCUCUGUUUGUAGAGCCUGGAUUUGUACACAAGGAGAUGGCCAGCCAGCUGUGGCUGAUUGACGCCCUCAUCCCAAGCUCUGGAGCUAUGGCAGAACUCUCAGGAGCACUGUGUGUACUGAAUGGACUGGCAGGAGAAUCAUUUCACAACAUUUAAGACAUGCAAAGGGAAUGAGACUACUUCAUCCAUCCACAACUCAAGCAAGUCCUUGCCAGGGCAGCUGCCUUACUGCCUGACAGAUGGUCCUACUGUCCAUCUCACCACUUGAUGACCUCUGGACACAGAAAGUGAGCAUCAUUCCACCAGAUGGACUGGCAGAAGAAUCAUUUCACAACAUUUAAAAUGUGCAAAGGGAAUGAGACAACUUCAUCCAUCCACACCUCAAGCAAGUCCUUGCCAGGGCAGCUGCCUUACUGCCUGACAGAUGAUCCUACUGUCCAUCUCACCACUUGAUGGCCUCUGGACACAGAAAGUGAGCAUCAUUCCACCAGAGCCUGGAUUUGUACACAAGAUGGCCAGCAAGCUGUGGCUGAUUGACACCCUCAUCCCAGGCUCUGGAGCUAUGGCAGAACUCUCAGGAGCACUGUGUGUACUGAGUGAGUGGCAAGUCCCCUUGUGGAACAGACUUGCUCUCCAUAACCACAUCCUGUGUCUCUGCCUCUCUUUUGCUGUGAAUACCAUACACCUGUUGGAUUUCCACUGGAGGUCUUUGCCGACCCAGAAGAGGGAGUGUCCUAUGUCAGUGCUAAGCCUUGUCACCACGAUUCUCAGAUGUGCCUUGUGGGUUUUGCACACUUCAGGAACAGCCAUUCUCACUGCCAAUCUCACUGUCUCCCAACAGGCUCACCAAUGUGAUUUUUUUUUUCCUCACAGAUCAUUGUCUCCUGGCUCUGGGCUUUGCCUUUGUGUGUAUGUAUUUAUAGUUGGAAUCUGUCCUUCUGUUUUCAGUGAAAUACUUCAGUUCCUUUCUAAUUAAAAAUUCACUCAAAUUAGCCUUUUCCCAUACACUGCUAGGAUUGCUCUUUUGCUGUUGUUUUUGGUUUAAUUCUCUUUUCCUUAAUUUAUUUUUAUUUUAUGAGAAUGUGUGUUUUGCCUCCAUACGUGUCCAUGCACUAUUUUUUGCCUUGGGUCAGUGGAGAUCAGAAGACAGCCUCAGUUCCUGGAGAUGAAGUUACAGAUGCUUGUGACGCUCCGUGUAAGUGCUGCAAAUCAAUCUACCCUCCUUUGGAAGAGCAGCUGAUGUUCUCGCCCAUCUCUCUGGGCUCUUGGUUCUCAUUAUAACACAGGACCUCAAGUAGCCCAGGAGCCUCAAACUCAGUAUGUAGUCAAGAAUGAACUUGAACUUUUUUCCUGCUUCAGCUUCCAAAGUGUGG
ensembl:lncRNA